rnacentral:rRNA from 1 species
AUGACGGCCAAAUACAUGAGGAACAAUGUCCAAGGACUUGCACUGCUUUGUUUUGUUCUUGUGGUAUGCUUUGCCUGUCUUGGAUGCGCAAACGGUGAAAGCAUAAACGACAAGGGGAGCAACGGGAUGAUCGAAGUAGUCCGCCCCCCUUGUUAUAAAGACCAUCACCAGCCCCCAGACCUGCAAUAUUGUUGUCAAACGGACAGGAUAUGUUGGCUAGCAAAUUCUAUGUUUUCGCGAUUGCACCAUCUGUAUGCUGGGCAAUGGGAGGCGCACGACCUUCUGGCGCGACGCGUGUGGGGGGAGUGGGUGGGAGCGGAGGCUCCUUACACUCCAACCGCACCAACGCCUGUGUUGCAACUAUUCUCCCGCACAUUGAAAACCACCUCCAGCUCAGGCUUUCCGCGGUCGCGCACGCUGAGCUUGGCAAUCUGUGUGCACAUGCCCGCGCCAUUUGGGCUCUGGCCGUGCCGGGUGCGCCUGCUACCGCAUCACCAUCCAUCCUAUGAAACGUCUGGAAGAGUCACAACAACAAGGUCUUCCGUACGUGAUAAGCAUUCCACCCCCGCCUAUGUUGCACGCAAUAUCGCCGUCCUGCUGUGCUGGUGGCCAUGUUCUCGUGCGCUUUGCGGACCUCCAAGGUGGCUCGCCAAAGUGAAACCAUUAUCGUUGAACGAAUCAGACCGGAGCAACACCCCGGACACGCCAUCGAACUCCAGAUCUAGCACCCCUACACGACAAAGACGUUGGAGGAGGAAACCAUACCUUCCAUCGACGAACCACAAACUCAGCACACGAUCCACCAUCUUUCAUAAGCCCGUCGAUGUAGACCACAAUUUGCAUCCGCUCCUGCACUACCUCCAAGCUCCGCGCCGUGCUGAAGCAAAUGCCAUCGCAAUGGCGGAGCCCAGUGGCGGAGCCAGGAUUUCCGACAUGGGUAUGCGCGGUAAAGAUUAUUUUUUGCUUCACAACAAUGAUGUGAUGUGUGAUGCUAUGUGGUCCAAACAUCGCUAUGUGCUAUCCAUGCCACACGAUCAUCACGGAUUGAACGAUGUACGAGGCGGCCGACGCGUGAGAGUUAUCCGCCAGCUGAACCAAAGCUUUUUCCAUAAAAAGAUCGAUCACCUGCCUGGCCAUUGGAUGGAGCUGCAGAUGGCCGUCUGA